rnacentral:rRNA from 1 species
UAUAGAUGGAUCCGCGCUGCAUUAGCUAGUUGGUAAGGUAACGGCUUACCAAGGCAACGAUGCAUAGCCGACCUGAGAGGGUGAUCGGCCACACUGGAACUGAGACACGGUCCAGACUCCUACGGGAGGCAGCAGUAGGGAAUCUUCCGCAAUGGGCGAAAGCCUGACGGAGCAACGCCGCGUGAGUGAUGAAGGUCUUCGGAUCGUAAAACUCUGUUAUUAGGGAAGAACAUAUGUGUAAGUAACUGUGCACAUCUUGACGGUACCUAAUCAGAAAGCCACGGCUAACUACGUGCCAGCAGCCGCGGUAAUACGUAGGUGGCAAGCGUUAUCCGGAAUUAUUGGGCGUAAAGCGCGCGUAGGCGGUUUUUUAAGUCUGAUGUGAAAGCCCACGGCUCAACCGUGGAGGGUCAUUGGAAACUGGAAAACUUGAGUGC